GACGAACGCUGGCGGCGUGCUUAAUACAUGCAAGUCGAACGGAGCCUAGCCGGUAGUUUACUACAGGCGAAAGCUUAGUGGCGGACGGGUGAGUAACGCGUGGGCAAUCUGCCCCUAAGUCCGGGAUAACAGAGCGAAAGUUCUGCUAAGACCGGAUACUCUUCCUUGGUCGCAUGGCGGAGGAAGGAAAGGAUACGCUUAGGGAUGAGCCCGCGUCCCAUUAGCUAGUUGGUGAGGUAACGGCCCACCAAGGCGACGAUGGGUAGCCGGCCUGAGAGGGUGGACGGCCACACUGGGACUGAGACACGGCCCAGACUCCUACGGGAGGCAGCAGUAGGGAAUUUUCCGCAAUGGGGGAAACCCUGACGGAGCAACGCCGCGUGAGGGAAGAAGGUCUUCGGAUCGUAAACCUUUGUCAUCGAGGACGAAAACUGACGGUACUCGAGGAGGAAGCCCCGGUAACUACGUG
rnacentral:rRNA from 1 species